rnacentral:rRNA from 1 species
GAAAGUAGUUAAGGGCGCAGGGCGGAUGCCUUGGCUCACGGAGGCGACGAAGGACGUGACAAGCUGCGACAAGCCGCGGGUAGGUGCAAGUGACCGUUGAUCCGCGGAUUUCCGAAUGGGACAACCCGCCCGUCUGAAGGACGGGCACUUCCGCCUUGUGCGGAAGGGCCAACCCGGGGAACUGAAACAUCUUAGUACCCGGAGGAAAAGAAAAUAAUCCAAUGAUUCCCCCAGUAGCGGCGAGCGACCGGGGAGGAGCCCAAACCCGGCGUGUGGCGACGCACGCCGGGGGUUGUAGGACCGCGGUGUUGCACGGCAAUGGCGAGGGGAAGCGGCUGGAAAGCCGCGCCGCAGGGGGUGAUAGCCCCGUACCCGAAGCUUGCGCCGGCAUAGCGGCAUCCUGAGUAGCGCGGGACACGAGGAAUCCUGCGCGAAUCCGCCGGGACCAUCCGGCAAGGCUGAAUACUCCCGUGAGACCGAUAGUGGACGAGUACUGUGAAGGAAAGGUGAAAAGCACUUCGACGAGAAGGGUGAAAGAGAUCCUGAAACCCUGCGCCUGCAAGCGGUCGGAGCUGCCUUUUGGCAGUGACGGCGUGCCUUUUGCAUAAUGAACCUACGAGUUGCCGUCUCCGGCAAGGCUGAGGGGCUUUAGCCCCUGCGCCGCAGUGAAAGCGAGCCUGAAGAGGGCGUUUUUAGUCGGAGGUGGCAGACGCGAAACCAAGUGAUCUACACUUGGCCAGGGUGAAGUCCCGGUAACACGGGAUGGAGGCCCGCACCGAUAAGCGUUGAAAAGCUUCCGGAUGAGCCGAGUGUAGGAGUGAAAGGCCAAUCAAACUUGGAGAUAGCUCGUACUCCCCGAAAGGCAUUUAGGUGCCGCGUGCGCCGUUCCGCAUGAGAGGUAGAGCGACCGGUAGGUCGAGAGGGCUUCGCCGCCUGUCGAGACCUGACGAACUCCGAAUGCUCAUGCGCCGCAGGCGCGCAGUAAGGGGGCGGGUGCUAAGGUCCGUCCCCGAGAGGAGAAGAAUCCAGACCGCCGUCUAAGGUCCCCGAGUUCUGCCUGAGUUAGUCUAACGAAGUGCGGUCCCUGUGACAGCCAGGAUGUUGGCUUGGAAGCAGCCAUUCAUUCAAAGAGUGCGUAACAGCUCACUGGUCGAGGGUCCGUGCGUGGAUAAUAAUCGGGUAUAAGGCAGACACCGAAGACGCGGGGUAGCAUUGAAGAAAGUACCGGUAGGGGAGCAUGGCGUGCGGCGUUGAACGGAGGGGGCGACCCCUCCCGGAGCGCACGGCAAGGCAAAUGUAGGUAUAAGUAACGACAAGGAGGGUAAGAUCCCCUCCCGCCGUAAGACCAAGGUUUCCCGGGCAAUGCCAGUCAGCCCGGGGUCAGUCGGGCCCUAAGCCCCAGCCGUACGGCGAGGGGCGAUGGAAGACACGGUCAACAUUCCGUGACUGCCUCAGGGAGCGACGCGCUGACGGAGCAGUGACACCACCGCGGGGCGACGGAAGCCCCCGUUGACGGGCGUAGGCGUCGAGGGCCGCAGGCAAGUCCGCGGCCCGAGCCGAACCCCCAUAGUAUGGCUCCCCCUCCGGGGGGCGCCAAUAGCGUGGGUAAUCAUACUCCCGAGAAAAUGCGCUAAGCCUCAUCCCUGCGGCACCCGUACCCCAAACGGACACACGUGGUCGGGUAGAACAUACUCAGGCGUUGGAAGACUCACGGUUAAGGAACUAGGCAAACUGACCCUGUAACUUCGGGAUAAAGGGUCCUCGCGGCUCCGCGAGGCGCAGAGAAUAGGUCCAGGCAACUGUUUAACAAAAACACAGGGCUGUGCUAACUCGAAAGAUGAUGUAUACAGCCUGACACCUGCCCGGUGCCGGAAGGUUAAGAGGAGGGGUCAUCCUCACGGUGAAGCCCUGAAUUGAAGCCCCGGUAAACGGCGGCCGUAACUAUAACGGUCCUAAGGUAGCGAAAUUCCUUGUCGGGUAAGUUCCGACCUGCACGAAUGGUGUAAUGAUCCGGACGCUGUCUCAACCGUGAUUCCAGUGAAAUUGUAGUAUCGGUGAAGAUGCCGAUUACCCGCGAUGGGACGAAAAGACCCCGUGAACCUUUACUGCAGCUUAGCGCUGACCCCGGCCAUCCGAUGUGUAGGAUAGGCCGGAGGCUUUGAAGCCGCGGCGCCAGCCGCGGGGAGCCUUCCUUGAAAUACGGCCCUUCGGCUGUCUGGGGUCUAACCCGC